UGCUCCUUGCCUGUCUGUUAGCUCGUUUGUAAAAUGCUACCUCCUAAUGCCAUUGUGAUGAUUAAAUGAUCCAGUGUGUCACUGUCAGCCCCAUGCCUAACACACAGUAAGUCUCAGGUGCGGUAGUGGAGAAGAGGAUGGGCUCUAGAGCCAAGAAUGGGUUUGGAUCCUGGCUCUGCCACUUACAAGUUGUAUAACCCUGGCGUCAGUUUUGCCCUUUGAUGUAAGUCAUCGUCUCUGGACAUGAGAACGGGAGGCCUCACUUCCACAUCCUCCUCCAAAUGAAUGCACUCUAAACAAACAUUGAUGCGCCUCUCAAGGUUGGCAUUGCAUCUGGACCAGUGCCAGGAAGCCACAAGGCCACCAGAGGCAGAGGGGAAGAGCAAGGGCGGAAGAAUAGAAGUCAAGCAGCAGCAGAUGGAAUGUGUGCACGGUCAGGUGGAGGCAAGCUGCUCCUGACUGGUGCAAGAACUGACUGUGUGUGUACUUUGCUUCUCAGUGCUGUGCACAGACACGUGCAGCAAGAACCAUCUCAGAGGGUCACAAGCCCCCUAGAUUUUACCCACAGAAGAUGGUAGAAAAAAGAACCUGUGAUGAAUGAAGAAAGCUGGGGAAAAUGAGGGAAGGCAGGAGGAACCUGCCAGAAACAGGCCAAGUCCCACCAACAUGGAAAUCAGAUCACAAAUGAUUUAGCUGUAAAACAGGUAUCCCAAGUUAUGCCAUGUAAUUCCCAAUUCCAUUCUUUCCUUUCCUUCUCCCUUUCCCUCUUAAGUAUCUGUGGAUAGAAACAGGAUGUUAUGUUUUACUUUCUCCUGCAAUGUAGGAAGAUAUUUAUUCUCUAGUUCAUAUCCAAUUAUUUGCAGGCCAGAAAUUCUUUCUCUAAUAAUAUUAAAAUAUGUACCUGUUCCAAAGACACUGCAAUUAAUAAAGUUGUUUCCCUCAACCCAGAGGAAAUGCAAAGCUUUCUUAUAAAUCCAUUCCAAGAAUCAAAUUUUUGUACAUCUUCAAAAAACUAUGUGUUGCUAGGUGCAGUGGUACACACCAGUAAUCUCAGCUACUUUGGAGACUGAGGCAGGAGGAUUGCUUGAGCCCAGGAGUUCAAGAUCAGCUCG
rnacentral:lncRNA from 1 species